rnacentral:rRNA from 1 species
CAGUCGCCGCGGUAAUACAGAGGAUGCAAGCGUUAUCCGGAAUGAUUGGGCGUAAAGCGUCUGUAGGUGGCUUUUCAAGUCCGCCGUCAAAUCCCAGGGCUCAACCCUGGACAGGCGGUGGAAACUACCAAGCUGGAGUACGGUAGGGGCAGAGGGAAUUUCCGGUGGAGCGGUGAAAUGCGUUGGGAUCGGAAAGAACACCAACGGCGAUAGCACUCUGCUGGGCCGACACUGACACUGAGAGACGAAAGCUAGGGGAGCAAAUGGGAUUAGAUACCCGCGUAGUCCCUGUCUCUUAUAC